CUUCCUUUUUUCUUUUUUCCGGCGUUCAAGAUGUCGAAGCGAGGACGUGGUGGGUCCUCUGGUGCGAAAUUCCGGAUUUCCUUGGGUCUUCCGGUAGGAGCUGUAAUCAAUUGUGCUGACAACACAGGAGCCAAAAACCUGUAUAUCAUCUCCGUGAAGGGGAUCAAGGGACGGCUGAACAGACUUCCCGCUGCUGGUGUGGGUGACAUGGUGAUGGCCACAGUCAAGAAAGGCAAACCAGAGCUCAGAAAAAAGGGUGAGUAAACACUGAGCCCACCUUAAUACUGAUGAGUAGUGGGGGGACGCUUUCCUUUAUUGGAAAAUGGAUCAGUUUUCAAGGCCUCAAGUUUGUUUUCCAUUGAGAGGCAGUGUGAGAUAAGUAUCUUAAGUUUUUGCUCAUAUUGUGUUGGAGGGGGGACCAUCAUCUUGUCACUUCCAUACCUUAGUUGUUUUUUUGUUGUUGUUUUUGUUUUGUUUUGUUUUGUUUUUUGAGAUGGAGUCUCUCUCUGUCGCCCAGCCCAUACUGGAGUGCAAUGGCACGAUCUUGGCUCACUGCAACCUCCGCCUCCUGGGCUCUCAAAAAAAAAUAUAUUACAAAACGAAAACAAGCUGCCCGUUGCUUAUUUUAUUAUUUGUUUUUGAGAUGGAGUCUCACUUGUUGCCCAGGCUGGAGUGCAGUGGCACAUAUCUGUUCACUGCAACCUCCACCUCCCGGGCUCAAGAGAUUGUCCUGCCUCAGCCUCCCGAGUAGCUGGGAUCAUAGGUGUGCACCACCACACCCGGCUAAUUGCUCAUUACUUAAUCUCAGGCUCCCCACUCAAAAUUUUUCCUGUCAGGUGUAUGAUUUAAAGGGGGAGGCCUCAAAAUACUUGCAGCUUGUGUCCUGUCUGGCUUUAGAACUUCUGGUGUUUGGUGCAUUUUAACUUCAGCGCUUGCACUUUUUUCCUGUGCCUGCCUAAUCUGUCUCUACCCUGGGAUGUCUUGCUCUUCUAAAGAGUUCCUGGCCAUCCCUUGAUUUACAAAUGUGAUGUUGAUUUGUCAGCCCUGUAUUACAGUUACUCCUAUUCCUGUAUCCACCCCACGAUGCUGUCCAGUAGAUUUUUAGCCUUUGGGUUAGAAAUUGUUUUUUGUUCACCAUUAAUAUCCAUUUGAGGGCUGGGUAGCACUGUGAUUGUGAUUCAGCAAUUGCAUGGGCUUUUUCCUCUUCUCAGAACACUUCCUGGGUCUGAUUGGUGGCCCAGGGAGCUGUCAGAGAAGAGCAGAGCAAAUGGCCUUCACUUUGUAGAUGAGAUGGCAGGAGGGUGGAUUGUUGGUCUCAGUCAGUGGUGGGACAGACCAGAGCUCCGAACACUUCAGUUUUAAAACUAGUUGUGAGUUUCCAAUUCUGUUAAUGUCUUUUUUGGUCCUUGUUUCUGCUAAAUGAAUACAUCCCCUCCCCUUGGAACUUAAUAUCAAUAAAUAACAAGCACAGAAAUAUGCAAAAGGACCAGGUCUACUUGAAGAAUUUGUGAGGAUUAAAUGGUUUAUGAGUAGAGGAGGGUCAGUCAGUAAGUAUUGGCUACCUCAUGUGUGUCCCAUUACUAACUUGGUUAGACUUAUCUAUUUUUUGUGUAGUCUUCCUGUCAUAAAAAUUCUGUGUAAGGACCCCAUGCUAGUAUCAGUGAAGAUUGUGAAUCCAGGUGUGUCUGACUCUACAAUAGUUCUUCACAAGCAUUAUAUUUCACUGUGUAGUGAUACUUCAUUUUGAAAGUUGGGAAAAGCGUCUUUUUCACUUUAGUACAGAUGGGUAUAAAAGUUACUUAGGACACUAGAAAACAGUUCAUUAAAAGUAAAACAAAGCCUGGUGCUUGGGCCCAGGAAUUCAAACUGUUUUCCAGUGUAAAUCUGAAUAGCUUGGUCUCUGCUCAUUGCCAGGACUGGGAGGAGUUGGGGGUCCCAGGUCCCAUUUCUACAUCCCAAUUCAGUGAUACUGGGAUCUUAAUAACCUACCUGUAAGGUGAAGUUGGAAAAGGCAUAGGCAAGGAUAGUUGUCCUGAGAGUUUUACACUUGUGAGAAAAUACUGGCAGCUUUGAUUUUAAGAUGUGAAUAGAUGAUCGUGGUUCAUGCCUUUACUCCCUAUACUCCCAGCACUUUGGGAGGCCAGGCUUGCCAACAUGGCAAAACCCUGUCUCUAUGAAAAAAAAAAAAAAAUCUGGGCAUGGUAGUGUGCACCUGUAGUCCAAGAUACUAGAGAGGCUGAGGUGGGAGGAUCACCUUGAAGAUUGAUAUUUACACUGUCACUGUCUCAAACGCUGAGUGUACAUUCUGUCUAGUUGGAAACUGCUUUUGUGGUGGCACUGCGACUUGACAGGUUAAUGACUGCUGUCCUUUUUUCUUCUCUCAGUACAUCCAGCAGUGGUCAUUCGACAACGAAAGUCAUACCGUAGAAAAGAUGGCGUGUUUCUUUAUUUUGAAGAUAAUGCAGGAGUCAUAGUGAACAAUAAAGGCGAGAUGAAAGGUAGGAAAUCAGUCCAGCUUGUUCCUUAGGUCUCUGAGGUUGGGUGGAUUGUCUAGAAGUACAGGCCAAGGAUCUUCUGUGUUUGACGAUGUCUUAAUCUGUCCCCCACAUGUUUUUAUUUUAUUUUAUUUUAUUUUUUUAAUGCAGGUUCUGCCAUUACAGGACCAGUAGCAAAGGAGUGUGCAGACUUGUGGCCCCGGAUUGCAUCCAAUGCUGGCAGCAUUGCAUGAUUCUCCAGUAUAUUUGUAAAAAAUAAAAAAAAAAACUAAACCCAUUAAAAA
rnacentral:lncRNA from 1 species